CAGGCAGGAGGCUCAGCUGUGAUUUCUCCUUCUUCCUGACCUGCAGCUUUUGAAGCCACUCGUUUCUACAAUGUGAGUGAGAAUAGUCCCUUGGCUCGGGAGCUCUGUGAUGGCCCAACCUGCAACGAGGUGGAAAGCUCAGCCAGCCAGUGGGUUGGCUUUGUUCACUCUGGGCCUUGCAACAACAUUUUUGGCUGCUUGGAGGACGAGUACUUUGAGCAGUGCCUGUGCUCGCGGGACUGUGGCUACGACGGGGAGCCCGUGUGUGGCUCAGACGGACAGAUCUACCCCAACCACUGCCAGAUGGAAGUGGCAUCCUGCAGGAAUAACACCAGGAUAGAGCAGAUGCCCAUGUCUCAAUGUUCUGCCUCCAAGAAUUUGCCAGAAGAAAGGGAGACACACUCCCACACAGCUGAGCAGCCCAGUGUUCCACAGACUCCAGCAGCUGAGGAAGGGCCCCCUCUUCACACAGACCUGUCCUACUACUCCUAUGAGUACGACCCUGACCCCUUUGCUGCAGAACCCGAUGUGUUUGAGAUGGAGGCAGAGCUGACAACAGGGCGCACCUUCAGGGAAGGGGAUGGGAUCCAGGGAGAGGUGACCAUGGCAGAAUGGUGAGCCCAGGAAAUCUACAAUUUAAACCAAGAGAAGAGGCUCAGAAUCAACUCCUGUAUGAGUUUGUUCCUCCAGACGACCUGCUGCAGAACACAAACUGAAUGAUGAAAUGAUGACUACUUCCUGAUGCCCUCAGAACUGUUGGCUUUGCUGCCCCACGGGGUGGAUCUGGAGCUCUAAGGGGGACACUCAGCAUGAUUUUUCUGUUGAUUUUCCUGCCUUUUGUGCAUUCUCCUUGGAGCCCUUCCAAUGAUGGGAGACCAAUAUGCUGUGUCCUCUAGGUGAGAAAAAUAGGGGCUGGAAUUCAAACCUAUAGAGCAUUUCCAAGUGUUUUCUCUGCUAUCAGGAUAUACUGCAAGUGCCAUUUCCUAGAUACAUUUAGAAGCUAAGUCCAUGCCUUGUGCUUAGCUGAACUGCUGUUUGAGGAAAGAUGGCUGAGAAGUUUUUGCUCAAAUUAUAAUAAUAAAAAUCAGUGUGUUUUGCUAAUUAUGACA
rnacentral:lncRNA from 1 species